CACCAUAACAAUCUGCACUUACAAACAAGGCAGUCAGAAUUCUCAUCCUAAAUACCAGAGCUGGACAUUUCAAAUUAUUAUUAAAAAAAAAUAAAACUAUUAGAAUACUAGCUCUGGAGGAUUGGAAGUAGCCUGACCAUAUGCUAUGUUAAUCUUGAGGAGAAGAUAUGAUAGAAAUAUUUACUUACAGCAAGAUACAGAUGCAAUUUAGUCCAACUGCAAGACUCUUUUAUCAUGCAAGCCUUCACAAAAAUGUACUAAGAUCCAUUCCUUGCUUCUUGAUUACAUGACAGCACAACUUCCACAUUCUGA
rnacentral:misc_RNA from 1 species